AAAAUUCAACAUUAAUCUUACUUAGAAAGCAGUGAAAAUAAAUAAUACUGUAAAAAUUAUUUUUCAUGUAUGAUGAGUAUACAGAUGAUAUGAGUGCAUUGAAAUUCACAUGUUUUUAAGAAACUGAAAUUAGAGAAAUGAGAACAUGCCACUUUUAUUUUUUAUGUGUAUGUGUGUAUAUAUACAUGUAUUAUUUGUUUUCCACUUCUAUAGAAAUCCUGUCAGGAUUUCAAUGUUCUCUUCAGAGAAUCGUCUGAGAAAAUACAAGAACUGACCAUUAAGUUUUCCACAUGUUUACAAAAUAUUAAGAGAUUUAGUGAGAAUCAAAGAAAAGCUUCUGAGAAUGAAAAGGAUGUGUUUUCUCCAGAUUAUACAGGAUAUUGUGUAACAUCAAAACGGAAUGGUGAGGUUGUAUGGGAAAUGCAAGAUCUUCACAUCAAACUAAAGAAAGCUAUUGAAAAGUCAAGGUUGGAGUGUGUAUUUGAAUAAUUUUAAUAGUAAAUAUAGAGAAAAUAAAUAGAUAAAUGAAUAUAUAUACACACAAUAUAUGUAUGUGACAUACAUACAUUUAGUUUGGUUCACAGAAUACAACAGCAACAAAAAGGACAAGCUUUUAUUGUUGUUUUUUUUCAAUAUUAAAAAGAUUACAUUUCAUAUCAAACAUAAAUUCUUAGAUUCCUGUUGCCUCUCAGUGGUAAGUCUGAGGGUUUAUUACACUAAAAAUUGGGUU